rnacentral:sRNA from 1 species
AGAUGUGAGGGCAGCCUGGCUGCACCAUCUGUCACCUCUUUGGUCACCAGGGUUGAUUUGGAUAAUCUGGCUGGCUAGGCUGGUGUCCCCUUCCUCCCUCAACGCUCCAUGUGUGUCCCUCCCCAAAGUUUCUGGCUUAAAGAGGAUGACCAUCGCCAAUAGGAGAGGACUGUUCCUCCCUCAGCGGUGUACAAGUAGCUGGGCUGCCCUUCUGGAACCUCCAGACAAACUCUCAAAGAAGAAACUCUUCACAUUGCAUUGCUGAGUGCAUAGUAAGUGCUGAAUAAAUACUGUUUCAGUGAAUGAAUU